CCUACGGGAGACAGCAGUGAGGAAUAUUGGUCAAUGGCCGGAAGGCUGAACCAGCCAAGCCGCGUGAAGGACGAAGGUGCCAAGCAUUGUAAACUUCUUUUGUCAAGGGACAAAAUCAGGCUCGAGAGCCUGACCGAGGGUACUUGAAGAAAAAGCAUCGGCAAACCCCGUGCCAGCAGCCGCGGUAAUACGGAGGAUGCGAGCGUUAUCCGGAUUUAUUGGGUUUAAAGGGUGCGUAGGCGGGCUGUUAAGUCAGCGGGAAAAGCCCGGGGCUCAACCCCGGCGAGCCGUUGAAACUGGCUGUCUUGAGAUGUCGAGAGGUAUGCGGAAUGCGCAGUGUAGCGGUGAAAUGCUUAGAUAUUGCGCAGAACUCCGAUUGCGAAGGCAGCAUACCGGCGGCGAUCUGACGCUGAGGCACGAAAGCGUGGGUAUCGAACAGGAUUAGAUACCCCAGUAGUC
rnacentral:rRNA from 1 species